UUGAGUAAGUUUGAGUGAUUGUUCAACUGCAAACAGCGAAUCUCAGCUAUGUCUUUCAUCCUCCCCAGACCUAGUGGUUAUUCAACACCAUUGUAGCCAGGCAACUUUCUAAUGCCUGUAAGGGGGAGGAGUUUCUGCUAACACUAAGUUCAAUUUGACAAAGAAGAUUAACUGAGAAAUAAGGAAGGAUAUGACUAGUUGAUGGCUUCUACUGAAGUUUAUCACUUCCUACACUUAUUGUUUACUUUGUAAUGAUUUUUCUUCAAGGCAUUGCUCGGAUUGGGGUAUCAUCCAUAACCCUUGGAAUGAGUGAGCAAAAGAAAUUUUAAAGUUGAACUAUACUUGAAAGAAGAAUACCAACUAUGAGUCUCUUACUGUAAUCCAAGUGGAAGAUAAUAUUGGACUGAACAAAGAUAAUGACAGUGAGAUGGAAAGAAGGAGGAGAAGAAGAAGAAGGAGGAGGAGGAGGAGGAGGAAGAAGAAGUCAGUAGGCCCUAAUGAUUAAUUCAGUAUGGUGUCAGGAGGGGGAGAACUUUCUCAAGUUCUCAAGUAUUAUCCUUUCUUGUGGAUCUUUCUUGUGUUUUGAGCCCCAAAGCAUGCCUGAUGCAUAGUGGGCUUUAAUACAUAUGUUGCUGAAUGAAUGAAUGAAACAUUUAA